AAAAAAAAUAUUGUUACAGAUAAGAUUAAGAAUUUUGAUACUGUUUUUGAAAAAUACUAUGUUAACAAAUUAACAAAUGAGGAGUCAGAUGAUCUAGAGGGUCCAAUCUGUCUACAUGAGGCAUCAAAUGUUUUAAAAGCAAUGAAAAAUGAUAAAAGUCCCGGAUCAUCAGGUUUUACGGCUGAAUUUUCAAAGUUUUUUGGAGAAAAAUUGGUCCAUUUGUAGUAAGGUCCAUAAAUUAUGGUUUUGAAAAAGGUCAACUCUCUGUUACACAGAGACAAGGUAUAAUUACAUGUAUACCUAAAGGAGACAAACCACGACAGUUUCUUAAAAACUGGAGACCAAUUACUCUCCUAAAUACUUCUUACAAAAUUGCAUCAGGGGAAUUAUUGCUAAUCGAUUUGUAAUCGAAAAGUAUUGGGAAAUUUGAUUGAUCCUGAUCAAACUGGCUUUGUUCUAGGUCGAUUUAUAGGAGAAAACACAAGAUUGUUAUAUGACUUGAUGCAAAUUGCAGAAGAAAAAAAACCUACCAGGACUUUUCCUAUUUGUCGACUUCGAAAAAGCCUUCGACUCAUUAUCAUGGGAUUUCCUACAAGAAGUAUUAAAAUAUUUCAAUUUUGGACAAUCUAUUCGUAAUUGGGUGAGAAUUUUCUACUCUAAUAUUAAUUCAGCUGUAAACCAAGGGGGUAAUUUAUCAGAUUUUUUUAACAUUGAACGGGGUUGUAGACAAGGUGAUCCGCUUUCUCCUUAUUUGUUUAUAUUGUGUGCUGAAAUACUAGCUAUUAAGCUUCGCAACAAUAAGAAAAUAAAAGGGUUAAAAUCUGUUAGUAUUGAAAAUAAAUUGUCUCAAUUUGCUGAUGAUACUGCUAUUAUUUUAGAUGGAUCUGAAGAAUCUCUAAUGGAAAGCAUGAAAGACCUUAAUUAUUUUUGGGAAAUCUCAGGUUUAAAAAUUAACUACAGUAAAACCCAGGUUGUAUGGAUUGGCAGUAUGAAAUACAGUCAGAAUGAACUUUGUACUAGCUUAAACUUAUCAUGG
rnacentral:lncRNA from 1 species